UACAGAGGUGGCAAGCGUUGUUCGGAUUUAUUGGGCGUAAAGGGUCCGUAGGCGGUUUGGAAAGUCAGAUGUGAAAUCCCACAGCUCAACUGUGGAACUGCAUUUGAAACUUCCAGACUAGAGUAUGAGAGGGGUUAAGGGAAUUCCCGGUGUAAGGGUGAAAUCUGCAGAGAUCGGGAGGAACACCAGUCGCGAAGGCGCUUAACUGGCUCAUUACUGACGCUCAGGGACGAAAGCUAGGGUAGCAAACGGG
rnacentral:rRNA from 2 species